CACGGAGGCCCCGAGCGUUGUUCGGAUUUACUGGGCGUAAAGCGUGCGUAGGCGGUUGGGUAAGUCAGAUGUGAAAGCCCGGGGCUCAACCCCGGAACUGCAUCCGAUACUGCCCGACUUGAGGGUUGGAGAGGAGACUGGAAUUCACGGUGUAGCAGUGAAAUGCGUGGAUAUCGUGAGGAAGACCAAAGGCGAAGGCAGGUCUCUGGACAACAUCUGACGCUGAUGCACGAAGGCCAGGGGAGCAAAAAGG
rnacentral:rRNA from 1 species